AACGAACGCUGGCGGCAUGCCUAACACAUGCAAGUCGAACGAGACCUUCGGGUCUAGUGGCGCACGGGUGCGUAACGCGUGGGAACCUGCCCUUAGGUUCGGAAUAACUCCCCGAAAGGGGUGCUAAUACCGGAUAAUGUCUUCGGACCAAAGAUUUAUCGCCUUUGGAUGGGCCCGCGUUGGAUUAGCUAGUUGGUAGGGUAAAAGCCUACCAAGGCGACGAUCCAUAGCUGGUCUGAGAGGAUGAUCAGCCACACUGGGACUGAGACACGGCCCAGACUCCUACGGGAGGCAGGAGUGGGGGAUAUUGGAAAAUGGGCGGAAGCCUGAUCCAGCAAUGCCGCGUGAGUGAUGAAAGCCUUAGGGUUGUAAAGCUCUUUUACCCGGGAUGAUAAUGACAGUACCGGGAGAAUAAGCUCCGGCUAACUCCGUG
rnacentral:rRNA from 1 species